rnacentral:rRNA from 1 species
UGCCAGCCGCCGCGGUAAUACGGAGGGUGCGAGCGUUAAUCGGAAUUACUGGGCGUAAAGCGUGCGUAGGCGGACUGUUAAGUCAGAUGUGAAAGCCCCGGGCUUAACCUGGGAACUGCAUUUGAUACUGGCAAUCUAGAAUGUAGUAGAGGGGGGUAGAAUUCCUAGUGUAGCGGUGAAAUGCGUAGAUAUUAGGAGGAAUACCAGUGGCGAAGGCGGCCCCCUGGACUAACAUUGACGCUGAGGUACGAAAGCGUGGGGAGCAAACAGGAUUAGAUA